rnacentral:rRNA from 1 species
UACGUAGGUGGCAAGCGUUGUCCGGAAUUAUUGGGCGUAAAGCGCGCGCAGGUGGGAUGUUAAGUCUUUUGUAAAAGUGCGGGGCUCAACCCCGUAAAGCGAUGGAUACUGGCAUUCUUGAGUGCAGGAGAGGAAAGCGGAAUUCCCAGUGUAGCGGUGAAAUGCGUAGAUAUUGGGAGGAACACCAGUGGCGAAGGCGGCUUUCUGGACUGUGUCUGACACUGAGGCGCGAAAGCUAGGGGAGCGAACGGG